CGCGCCGUGGCCGAUGGGUUGGGAUUCGGUCUGGGACACCGUACGGGCGGUCCGCCCCGGCGAUCACCUCACGUUCGACCGGAACGGCACGGC
rnacentral:tRNA from 1 species